rnacentral:rRNA from 1 species
AAUUUUGGACAAUGGGCGAAAGCCUGAUCCAGCCAUGCCGCGUGAAUGAAGAAGGCCUUCGGGUUGUAAAGUUCUUUUAGUUGGAAAGAAAAAAUUAUGCUGAAUAAUCAUAAUUCAUGACGGUACCGACAGAAAAAGCACCGGCUAACUACGUGCCAGCAGCCGCGGUAAUACGUAGGGUGCAAGCGUUAAUCGGAAUUACUGGGCGUAAAGGGUGUGCAGGCGGCCUUGUAAGUCAGAUGUGAAAGCCCCGGGCUUAACCUGGGAAUUGCGUUUGAAACUACAGGGCUAGAGUGCAGCAGAGGGGAGUGGAAUUCCAUGUGUAGCAGUGAAAUGCGUAGAGAUAUGGAAGAACACCGAUGGCGAAGGCAGCUCCCUGGGCUGACACUGACGCUCAUACACGAAAGCGUGGGGAGCAAACAGG